GACACCUAUAGCUCAGUUGGUUAGAGCAUGGUGCUGAUAAUGCCAAGGUUGCAGGUUCGAUCCCCAUAGGAGACA